CUCGCUGGCCUUCCAAGGGGCAGGAUGGCCAGGCAGGUUAGGUGGGUGGUUGGGUGGACAGAUGGGCUUUGGGUUUGUGGGUGCAAUGACGGAUCCCUGGGUGAACGCAUGGCUCAACCACUAGUCCCAUUUUUCCAGAGUCCGGGGUGGGGUUCCCGGAGUGUGGACUUUUCAAGGUUAACAUUGAGACAGUCUGCAGCAAACUGGGAAUUUCGUCACCCUAGCAGAUGGAUGGACAGAGGACUAGAUGUGGAUGGAUGGAAAGAUGGACAAAAGAGGGACUGUAGACGGGAGGCCCACGUUGCUGCAUGAGCACUGGGAGUGGCAGAGGUGUGGACACAUGCAUAUGCUUAUUCACUCAACAGCUGACAGAGCUGAGAAGAAAAUCAGGAGAACUAGAUGUUCCUGAGAAGGUGGUCCUGAAGCAGGAGAGAAGAAUCCACCAUGGUGACUUCAGCUGGCUCCAAGGACCGAGGUGGUGGUGAGCUGUAGCCAGAAGAUGAGCUGGCCAUUCUUGCUCAACUCCACCCCCUGGGGCCUAUGGAUCCUAAGGAUUGGAUGCGCAGUUCUCAGUCCAGUCCAGAACAUGAUGUUCCCAAGGUACAGAACAAAAGGCAGGAAAAACACCAAGAAAAGGAUCCCUCAGGGCCGGGGUGGAGGCAGCUCUCAGCACAUUGCCCUGGACACACACCACAAUCAGAGCCCAGGACACUGAGUAAUUCCCAUUGUGCUGGAAGCCUCCCUGGUCUCAACAAGCCCCACUCUUUGUGUACCUUUGCCUGCACUUUGCAAACCUAGCCCCACACUAAUUUCCAGGUGCAAAGCUAGCCUCCUGGAAUAUAAAACUAGCUUUAUCCAUUUAUCAGGUAUGAGAAUAACUCACAUAGGUUUUCAGUUGUGAGGCCAGUUUUCUGUCAGAGAGUGGGGUCUGCUUUUGCUGUGAGCCAGAGAUGCCCAGCUUAAAGUGAGCACUACGGGAGAGACCCUAGCAGCCACUGACCCCAGCCUCCUUCUGUGGUUGGGCCUUGGCCCGCCCCCUGCAGGUGAAGGGCCAGCCUGGAAUUCCACUGGGCCAACGCAUGUGGGCAAAGCAAUGGGCAGCAGAGUGGAUGCCCUCCCAUAAGCCUGUUUCCUUCUUUACAGAGGAGCAAGCCAAAGUACUGGAGGGUCUCCAACUCAUUCUCGCCUCACCAGCCUCAGCCCAGAGCUGCCAGUCCCAUGGAACCAUCUUGAGUUCUGAGGUAGUGGCAGAGCCCUGAAGUGGGGACCUGAGGGUCCCAUGCUUUCUGUUGCCCAGCUCUGUCCUGGCUAGGAAAGCACUCUGGCUUCCAGAGCUGCCAGGGCUGCAGCUGUCUGGGGGAACAGUCCCUUGUCUGGGGUCAUAGGAGCCUGUGUGAGGCCUCAUUUCUUAUUCUGGGCAUGGGGCUCUAGGAUAGGAUGCCAAGAAUCCAAGUGGCUCCUGUGCUAUUCCAGCUUGCUUGCCCCAAAGUUCUCUGCCCUGUCCUGCAGAUCCAAGCCUCAGCUUCAGGUCUCCUACUCCUCCAGCUACCCAGGCUGGGCUUGCGGCAUGCAUGGGAGAGUGUGCUGCGGGUAAGCCUUCAUGCCUAGGCCUUUCAUUUUCAAAAUGGAAAUGUCCAGUUUAACUAUGCUUGGAUGUUAUGCUGGAAAGUUCUGGUUUGCUUAUCUGGUGGGUCUAGACUUUAGCUCUUCCUUUUUACCAGUUUAGUAUAAAAAAACAACUGCACUCCUCAUUCUGGGGGCUGGAGGACCUGGUCAGGAAGGAGAUUGUUGGAUCCUGGCUUUCAGCAGCACACACAGUGACUUUUGACCCUUAACUCAAUACAAUUCUGCAGAGGGAGGAAGUGGUGGGCCGAUGGCCAAGAAGGCCAUGGAGAUUUGGCUAGUACUAUUUCAACUGUGUUCCCCAAGACCUGACUGCCCAAUGCCCAUUCUUCUGCCUGUCAGGAUGGAAUGAUUAGUGGGGUCAGGUCCUGCUGGCUUUCCUAGUGUCUGGGGUGGCUCCUUGGGCUUCACAUUCCAUCCUGGACAGCUUUCUGCUCUCUAGUCUGCAAAUGGGCUGGGCACUGCUUGACUUUAUGGACUUAAGGACAAGCCAGUUAACUGGUUUUAUAGAAGAGAAAGAAGUGCUCAUAGGAUCAAGGCUUCUGGUUGGGAAAAAGCCAGAGAAAGGGGUAGAAAUGUCAUACAGAAGAGACCCUCUUUCAGAAAAGUUUGAUUUUUAGCUUAUGACAUCACAAAAUGCAACCUAGGCCCAAAAGUCAUCUCUGGCCAAGUUUCAUCAUGAUGUUUACAAGAGUAGGAUGAAGGUGACAAUUUCUGCGAAGUCCUUAUUUGGAGGGAGUCUCCUCCAAAUCUCACAUCUAGUCUUUCUCCUUUAAUGGUGUCUCAGAUGCUGUGUAACCAGAAUUGUGUGAUGCAGGCUAGAGCAGUGAGGGACAAUGCAUGCUGUGUGUCCAAACCACUCACUUUAUAUGAAGAGGCAGCAGCAGCCCUUAAAGAAGAGCAGCAUGACCAAGGGCAACGAUAAGGCAUUGGGAGCAUGAUCAUCCAUGAAAUAAGAAACCGGGGCUGCUGUCUAUGAGUCCAGAAACAUGGAGGAUAAGCUCCAUCAUCAAUGGAAGAAAGGUCCAGGAUGCCCUGGCAGACCUAUCAUUCUUUUUUUACAGAGGAGCCAAUUUUUUUAAGAUUUUAUUUAUUUAUUCAUGAGAGACACACAGAGACACAGGCGGAGGGAGAAGCAGGCUCCAUGCAGGAAGCCUGACGUGGAACUUGAUCCCGGGACUCCAGGAUCAUGCCCUGGGCUGAAGGCAGUGCUAAACCGCUGAGCCACCUGGGCUGCCUAGACCUAUCAUUCUUGAGAAUUCCUGGGGUUUAUUUAUUUAAAGAUCUUACUGAUUUAUUUGAGAGUGUGAGAGAAAGAGAGCAUGAGUAGGAGGUAGGGGUAGAGGAAGAGGGAGGAGCAGACUCCCCACUGA